GCCUGGGCUUGUGAAGACAGGGGGAGCCUUCCAGGCCUCUAAUUUCCUGAAGCCAUUUGUGGGGACUCCUGAACACACCUGGAGGAAGUCCCGCCUCUCUCCAGAAGAACAGGGCAAAACACUGCCCUCUGACGACAAAUUGUAGUUGCUUUUCCCAGGAGCACUGAGCUUUAAUUUUUUUUUUUUUUUUUUUUUUUUUCCUGAGACAGAGUCUUGCUUCGUCACCAGGUUGGAGUGCAGUGGCGCAAACUCGGCUCACUGCAACCUCCGCCUCCCGGGUUCAAGCGAUUCUUCUGCCUCAGCCUCCUGAGUAGCUGAGAUUAUAGGCACCCACCACCACGCCCAGCUAAUUUUUGUAUUUUUAGUGGAGACAAGGUUUCACCAUGGUGGCUGGGAUGGUUUCGAGCUCCUGAACUUGUGAUCCACCUGCCUUGGCCUCCCAAAGUGCUGAGAUUACAGGCGUGAGCUACCACGCCGGCCUGAAUCUUAAUUUUUGUUCCGCAAACGCCCUCCUUCUGCCCUCAGGCCUGGGAGGAAAAUGCUCCUUCUCUAACUCCGUGGAGUCUCUGCCCCAAGGGGAUCCAUCAAACAGGAAAUUCAGGAUUCCAAUUUGUAGGGACAAGUACCAAAUUUCCUUCCAGAAAGCUUGACAAAUUACCUUCCACCAACUGCAUGCAAGAAAACCUCUCACCUCUACCAGGCUGAGGAGCUGACGUUUCAUCUGGGCCUGAAGAAUGAGUAAAUUUCCAGGUGGGAAAAGGUCAUUGUGAUAUUGGAGAGGACUGGUCAUUCCUGCUGCUCAGAACCAGCCCACUCCACGCAGAGAUCACCUGGGAGAACCCAGACUCCUUCCAGUCCUUCCCCGCCGGCUGCAGCUCUUCCUUCUCACUGUAGGCUGGGAACCAGGAUGCCUGCCUUCCUAGGUAUGGACGAGAUGGAGUCUCACACUAUUGCCCAGGCUGGAGCGCAAUGGUUCGAACUCAGCUUACUGCAACCUCCGCCUUCUGGGUUCAAGCGAUUCUCCUGCCUCAGCCUCCCGAGUAGCUCGGAUUAUAGGUGCCCACCACCAUGCCCAGCUAAUUUUUUGUAUUUUUAGUAGAGACGGUUUCACUAUGUUGGCCACGCUGGUCUUGAACUCCUGACCUUGUGAUCCGCCCGCCUUGGUCUCCCAAAGUGCUGGGAUUACAGGCAUGAGCCACCACACCUGGCCUACGACAGCUCUUUUUAAGGACUUUUUUAGAGCAGUUUAGGUUCACAGCACAAUUGAGAGGAAGGUACAGAGACAUCCCAUUUACCCCUGUCCCUGAACAAGAUGCACUUCACUGAGGUUAUGUUAGAUUCCAGAGAAACAUUGGUUGAGGGACUCUUCUUUCCAAAAUAUUUUUGCUUCCAAAAGCUGUUUCAAACACCACAACACCAAAACCCUGUUUUGGGUUUUUUG
rnacentral:lncRNA from 10 species